rnacentral:rRNA from 1 species
CCUACGGGAGGCAGCAGUGGGGAAUAUUGGACAAUGGGCGAAAGCCUGAUCCAGCCAUGCCGCGUGUGUGAAGAAGGUCUUCGGAUUGUAAAGCACUUUAAGUUGGGAGGAAGGGCAGUUACCUAAUACGUGAUUGUUUUGACGUUACCGACAGAAUAGGCACCGGCUAACUCUGUGCCAGCAGCCGCGGUAAU